GCUAAGAAUAUUCCGCAAUGGACGAAAGUCUGACGGAGCGACGCCGCGUGGAUGAUGAAGGCCGGAAGGUUGUAAAAUCCUUUUAUGACUGAGGAAUAAGGAAAGUGAGAGAAACGCUUUCUGGUGACUGUAGGUCAUGAAUAAGCAACGGCUAAUUACGUGCCAGCAGCCGCGGUAACACGUAAGUUGCGAGCGUUGUUCGGAAUUAUUGGGCGUAAAGGGCAUGUAGGCGGUUAUGCAAGUCUGGUGUGAAAUGCCGGGGCUUAACCCCGGAACUGCGUUGGAAACUGCAUGACUUGAGUCGCUGAGGGGCAGCCAGAAUUCCAGGUGUAGGGGUGAAAUCUGUAGAUAUCUGGAAGAAUACCAAUGGCGAAGGCAGGCUGCCAGCAGAUGACUGACGCUGAGGUGCGAAGGUGCGGGGAGCAAACAGG
rnacentral:rRNA from 1 species